GAUGAACGCUGGCGGCGUGCCUAAUACAUGCAAGUCGAGCGAAUGGAUUAAGAGCUUGCUCUUAUGAAGUUAGCGGCGGACGGGUGAGUAACACGUGGGUAACCUGCCCAUAAGACUGGGAUAACUCCGGGAAACCGGGGCUAAUACCGGAUAAUAUUUUGAACUGCAUGGUUAAAAAUUGAAAGGCGGCUUCGUCUGUCACUUAUGGAUGGACCCGCGUCGCAUUAGCUAGUUGGUGAGGUAACGGCUCACCAAGGCAGCGAUGCGUAGCCGACCUGAGAGGGUGAUCGGCCACACUGGGACUGAGACACGGCCCAGACUCCUACGGGAGGCAGCAGUAGGGAAUCUUCCGCAAUGGACGAGAGUCUGACGGAGCAACGCCGCGUGAGUGAUGAAGGCUUUCGGGUCGUAAAACUCUGUUGUUAGGGAAGAACAAGUGCUAGUUGAGUAAGCUGGCACCUUGGCGGUACCUAACCAGAAAGCCACGGCUAACUACGUGCCAGCCGCCGCGGUAA
rnacentral:rRNA from 1 species